rnacentral:lncRNA from 1 species
CUCCCCUCUUCCUCCUCCUCCUUUCAUCCUCUUUCUCCUUCUCCCUUACACCAAGGACCACUGGCCUUCUUGGACCUUUGUGAUAUUCUUUCCUUUACCUGAAACCCCGCCUCCUGGGGCUCAGACAGGCCCUCCCCAGCUCGCGGCCUCCAGGCGCACCCCACUUCCCUCCGGGCAUCUUGCUCUCGUCUUUCACAGAUUAUGAAAUUGUACACAUAUUUUUGCAAACAGUUUUCAUGUUUAAAAAUACUUAUCAAUUAAAGAAGGCCCUUCUUUUCCUUUUUAAAUUAGGCUUUUUAAACCAAAGGAAUACAUACACAGAACUGAGAAAUCAAAUAUAAUGUCGAGAGAUAUUUCAUGGCAGGCAGCAGGCGCUGAUCACAUCUCUUCCUCCCUCCAGAGAUAACCACGUUCAGCUCUUGGCCAUUUCUCCUUCUGUAUAGAGCCCUUCACCCAAGGAACAUAGUCAUGCUUCUACUUUUUUUCCCCACAUUGUAUAAUAAAAAAAUUCCAAAUGUAUAAAAACGUUGGAAGGUGAAUGCCCAAUAAACCCACCAACAGACCCUACAAUUAACAUUUUGUCAUAUCUGUUCUGUCACAUAACUUUAAUUUUCUGUCCUUGUCUCCAGCCAUCAUUCCAUCUUACCUUCUGGUGCAUUUCCAAGAGAGCUGCAGUGGUGAGUACACUUCACCCCUAAACACUUCACCAAGCAUCUCAUUAACGUUCGAUAUUUGCUGGUGGUUCUUUUUCUUCUUCUUUUUUUUUUCUCCUUCCUUUUGAAAUAAAUUUUAUAGGCAAUGAAAUGUGCACAUCUGACAUGUACCAAUCCAUGAGUUCAGACCUAGGCAUACGACUAUGGAACCAAACAGUCCCUGAGAGGCAGCGCUUAAGUCGCCCCCGCCCCCGCCCCCGCCCGCCCAGGGGAGUUUCCUUACGCACCUUCUUGGAAACGCCAGGCAUGAAUAUGGAUGAAACUCCUCACUGAGACCACAAGGGUACGGCUCAAUUAUUUGCCAUAUAAAGUAGCACAUGAGGAUUCUUUGCGCUUGAUGGUUUCCUCUGUGUAGGGCUGGGUGCCCGCGUGCGCGCGCACCUGUGUGUGCUGGGUGGGGGGUGCGCGGGGUUCGGGGAGACCCUCACUGCAGGCCCGGCCGCCCGGGGAGGGGGUUGG